rnacentral:lncRNA from 1 species
CAGGGGGGCGGGGUGCCAGCUGUGUGAGUGCAUCUCGGACUCUGAUGGGGCUGGGCAUCACCGGGGCAUCUUGCUGAGGUGCGCAUUUCUCAUCCAGCAGGUCUGGAGGAGAGCCUGAGAUGCUGCGUGUGUGACACGCCCCCCGUGUGACGCUGCCCCUUGUGGCCGCAGGUCCACGCCGUGAGGGGCGGAACCCUAGGAGAGGACUCUGAAGAAGCUCGGCAGGUGCAGACGUGGGACAUGGUGUUCCUGAGAGACAGGACCUUCCAGGCUGCCAUUUGCAGAAGCCUCUCCGCUUAUUUGUCCUUUCUCUUGAAUACCACGAUCACAUCAGGUCUGUUCACAGUCACAGACGACAGAACUCCCCAGCCAGGGUGCCUUGGCACGGAAGCCAGGCCGCCUCGGUGGUCUGCAAGGGUCUUCUCCCAGGUCUAGGAGCGCUGAGAGUCAGAAGCAGCGCCCGUGACGUUUCACUUGACCAGCUUACCCUCCACUGUGCUCGAGCAGUUGAAUUUGUGAACCCAACACAGUGUUUGGCAUUGAUCUGGUCGUAGGCAGUCACGGGGAGAGGCACAGUCAGGAGCCGAAGAGAGAGAAGAAAUAGAGGCAAAGAGAAGGUGAGACAGUCAAGGGAAAGCCGGCAAGGAGAAGGGACCAUCAGCAGAAGCAUGGAGAAAGAGAUGGAAGAAACCCGGCAGAGGCCCCACGAGAGGACCUGGUAACCUCAGUGCAAAAAAACAAACUGCUUUCAGGUGACUAAGAGGUAAUCGGCCGCAGAAUAAGGGAAUCGGGGAUACUGGGAGAGCACGAAAGCCCAGAGCAGGAGAAUGUGGUCAGGCUUGUGGGCGAGAGAACACCCGCUGGGGUCAGCAGGCAUUGACCAGAGCAAGGCAGAUCGAAGGGACUGGGAUGAUCACUCCUCCUCUCUCUCUUUCUUCUAUUUCUGACAUUCUCUACCCUUCUCCCCGUCUCUUGGGUAGCUUAUCUGCCUUUUGCUCUUUCUUGAGUCAAUCAAUCAAUCAAUCGAUCAACUUCUCUUCUCCUUUUCCUCUCUUAUCUCAAAAGUGUUUUGCAAGUUACAGUUAUUGACUUAUUAGUAGGUUAUGAAGCUAGUGUUGCAGGUUAUAACAAGCAGUUUAUAAAACACUGAAAUAGGAUAGAAUAUAUAGAAUAAUGUACAAUAAAAUAGAAAACAGUGCGUCUUAGGGUAGGGAU